rnacentral:rRNA from 1 species
CAAUAGCGUAUAUUAAAGUUGUUGCAGUUAAAAAGCUCGUAGUUGGAUUUCUGGUGGGGCUGUCGGCCUGGCUCCGAAAGGGGUCGGCGCUUGUACACGCCUGGCCAUCCUCGGGGGAAGCUUUGCUGGCAUUAAGUUGUCGGCGGAGUGACGCUCGUCGUUUACUGUGAACAAAUUAGAGUGUUCAAAGCAGGCUUAGGCCGUUGAAUACAUUAGCAUGGAAUAAUGAGAUAGGACUUUGGUGGUCUAUUUUGUUGGUUUGCACGCCGAAGUAAUGAUUAAUAGGGGCGGUUGGGGGUAUUCGUAUUCAAUUGUCAGAGGUGAAAUUCUUGGAUUUAUGGAAGACGAACUACUGCGAAAGCAUUUACCAAGGAUGUUUUCAUUAA